rnacentral:rRNA from 1 species
UACAGAGGGUGCGAGCGUUAAUCGGAAUUACUGGGCGUAAAGCGUGCGCAGGCGGUUUUGUAAGCCAGAUGUGAAAUCCCCGGGCUUAACCUGGGAAUGGCAUUUGGGACUGCAAGGCUCGAGUGCGGCAGAGGAGACUGGAAUUCCUGGUGUAGCAGUGAAAUGCGUAGAUAUCGGGAGGAACACCAGUGGCGAAGGCGGCUUCCUGGACCUGUUCUGACGCUGAGGAGCGAAAGCGUGGGGAGCGAUCCGG